AACGAACGCUGGCGGCAUGCCUAACACAUGCAAGUCGAACGAACCCUUCGGGGUGAGUGGCGCACGGGUGCGUAACACGUGGGAACCUGCCCUUAGGUUCGGAAUAACAGUUAGAAAUGACUGCUAAUACCGGAUAAUUUCUUCGGACCAAAGAUUUAUCGCCUUUGGAUGGGCCCGCGUAGGAUUAGCUAGUUGGUGAGGUAAAGGCUGACCAAGGCGACGAUCCUUAGCUGGUCUUAGAGGAUGAACAGCCAAACUGGGACUGAGACACGGCCCAGACUCCUACGGGAGGCAGAAGUGGGGAAUAUUGGACAAUGGGCGAAAGCCUGAUCCAGCAAUGCCGCGUGAGUGAUGAAGGCCUUAGGGUUGUAAAGCUCUUUUACCUGGGAUGAUAAUGACAGUACCAGGAGAAUAAGCCCCGGCUAACUCCGUGCCAGCCGCCGCUGUAA
rnacentral:rRNA from 1 species